UUCGGAACGUUCGAACAAGUAGUCUGAAGCUUCAGCUAACCUGUAGCUUUCCCACUGGAAGGAGUUCGUUUGCUGAAGGUUGUUAAGUGCUUUUUAUAAAAAUUGUUGGGAUUGUCGAGUGUUUGCAAUUUUUGCGAUCGAGUGGCCUUUAAGGGUUAGUGUGGAUAAAAACACUUGCAGAAAAUAAAAUUAACAGUGUAACAACAAUCGACGAAUCGCACUCUCUUCUCCCGCGCGUUCGGUUUUCAGAGAGAGAAGGGUGAGUAACUUUCCAUCUUCGAAUUCGAAUUCGAUCGCGAGUGGACAGACUCUCUCUUUGGCUAGCCGUCGAGAAUUUUCAUUUUGUUCAGUCUCUUUUCCACAAAGUUUUGCAAAGUAAAGACGGGCCCAAGUGAGGCUCCCGCGAGUGCUUUUCAAAUAAAAAAUUAGGAGAUUCAAGUCUGCCUACUUUGAUUGAAAUCAGUGCUUCAAGAAGAAUCGGUAAACAAGCCGUAACAAAAAAGUGACUGUCCAAAUUCGGUCUCCUGUGGAAGUGCUCGUGUGAAAAGAGGGAAUCGGCGAGGAAAUUCUGCUGCAGUUUUUAAUCGGAAGUGAAGUGAAAUCGCAAAAAAAAGACUCAAAAUGCCGCAGACCAAAGCAACCAAUGGAUUCGCCACCAAUGGCCACAAUGGCUACGAAAUGGAAGACGGGUGCUCCUUUUUGUUCACCUCGGAAUCAGUAGGCGAGGGACAUCCAGACAAGAUGUGCGAUCAGAUCAGUGACGCCAUCCUGGAUGCACAUCUGCAGCAGGAUCCGAACGCCAAAGUUGCCUGUGAGACCAUCUCUAAGACUGGAAUGAUUUUGCUGUGCGGAGAGAUCACCUCGAAGGCCGUCAUCGAUUACCAGAAAAUCGUUCGCGAAACCGUCAAGCACAUCGGUUAUGAUGAUUCCUCAAAAGGCUUCGAUUGGCGUACGUUGAAUUUGUUGGUCGCUAUUGAACAGCAAUCGCCGAACAUUGCUCAGGGUGUGCACAUUGAUCGCGACGAGGAUAAUGUCGGAGCUGGUGAUCAGGAUUCGAUUACAAAACCUGUAACGUGUUGCUCGCACUGGACCAACAAUCACCCAACAUUGCCGCCGGAGUGCAUGUGAACCGUGCUGAGGAGGAAGUCGGCGCCGGAGAUCAGGGUUUGAUGUUCGGUUAUGCCACCGACGAAACGGAAGAAUGCAUGCCACUGACCGUGGUGUUGGCCCACCGGCUGAACGAGCGUAUCGCCGAACUGCGUCGCAGCGGUGAGUUCUGGUGGGCUCGUCCGGAUUCCAAGACCCAGGUUACCGCCGAGUACGUGUUCGAAUCGGGUGCGUGCAUCCCCCAGCGGGUGCACACCAUCGUUGUUUCGCUGCAGCACUCGGACAAGAUCGGCCUGGAGGAACUUCGCAAGAACAUCAUGGACAAGGUCAUCAAGGAGGUCAUCCCGGCCAAGUACUUUGACUCGAACACCAUCGUGCACAUCAAUCCGUGUGGAUUGUUCAUCAUUGGUGGACCGCAGGGUGAUGCUGGUUUGACCGGUCGCAAGAUCAUCGUAGACACCUACGGAGGUUGGGGAGCCCACGGUGGUGGUGCCUUCUCCGGCAAGGACUUCACCAAGGUCGAUCGCUCGGCUGCGUACGCUGCUCGCUGGGUGGCCAAGUCGCUGGUGAAGGCCGGUAUCUGCCGGCGCUGUUUGGUGCAGGUUGCGUAUGCCAUCGGUCUCGCUGAACCGCUUUCGAUCACAGUAUUCGAUUAUGGAACUUCAAAGUAUAGCCAGAAGGAACUGCUGAACAUCGUUUCGAAGAACUUUGACCUUCGCCCGGGAAAAAUUGUCAAGGAUCUGAAACUGAGGACACCAUUCUACCAGCGUACUAGCACAUACGGCCACUUCGGACGCGAAGGCUUCCCAUGGGAGGAGCCCAAGGAGCUAGUGAUGAAUUGAUUGGCAGCUGGAGCCGUUGCUUACGGUGGUCGGAGCGAUUCGUUAGCCGCCACCACUACCGCAAGCAGUAGCGACGAGGCUACACCAGUAGUUUUAAAGAAAGCCAAGCUAGACGUUUAAGAGUAUAUUCGAGCAUGAAUAGGGUUUAUUUUUUUAAUCUGAAUUUUCAUCAGUUUUUUACGCGUGUAGGUGUCGUUUAAUAAGUUCCCGUGACAGUUGGGCGUAGAUUAGUUCAGCAGCCCUUUCCUGAGUCAAUAGCCGGAUUGUGUCAUAUUUAUGAGCGGAAAAUAGUUUGUAUUUUCAAAGUUUAUGUUUGUCUGUGUUGACAAUGUGAUUCCUGUACCAAUUUUUCGUACAUAACGGAAAGUAUCCUUCCAAUUUACACUUUAAUAAUACUACUUCAAGGUGAAACAAAUUGCCAGUCUUAAACAUUCGAAUCGUGUAGGAAAGCAAAAAGUUUAGGAAACGUGAUUAAUAGAGUUUAAAAAUUGUAAACGAAUUUCUUCGCUCUUGCCGCCUUUGUUAGUUGGUUAGCCCCAGUCUUACUUUACACAAAAGAAAAACCAUCGCAAAAAAUAUGUAACCAUCGCAACAAUGUCUCUACAAUUAGUUUGUACGCUUACUUACACGCAUACACUCUUUGAACAUUUGGUAAAACAACAAAAAGUGGUAUGUAAUACACAAAAUAAAAGUGACAUAGUGUUUACAGAAAACUACACAACAAGUACACAAAAAAUAUCAUAAAAAAGUAAAAAAAAAGUAGAAACAUGCUGCUUGAAGCGGUUAGAUAUAAAACGGAUCCGUGAUGCUUCGACAAAGCUAGACCAUUCGGUUGGCCACAGUAGGAACCCCAUCAAGUGCGCUUCCAGAGCAACAUCCCUUGGAAGUGCUGCCUGCUGCAAAAUUCGUUGUAUGACGUGAAAAAAAUCAGUUCAACUGUUUCAUAGCGACGUAUAUUUUUGACGAAUGGAAUUCUAGGGACAUGAGGUAAACAUGGAGAAGGUACGCAAUAGAUUCUACAUUGCCAUGUUGCAAACGUGAAUCGAGGAAAUCGGCAUGAAACUAAAAUAUAUAGAAUAUCAAACAGUUGCAAGUUAAAACUUCGUUGAAUCUGGAUUAUGCUCUUGUUUAUAGUACACACACAUUUGUUUCAUAGGAGUCAUCAGAAACAUCGAAAGCGUGUUUGUCCUCGACCGCAUUUAAGAAGGCAAUAUUUUAACGUUUAAGAAUCGAAUGGUGCUUUUUGAAAGUUAAGCUCACAGGGAUGGCUUAGUAGCUAUCCAUAGGACACAGCUUCUAAAAGGAUAACCAAAACUACAUCAAUCAACUGCCAGUUUUUGUUUUGAUUAGUUAAUACUGUAGUCACACAUUCGAUAGAACUAGAACACGCUGCUCUGACCGAACAAUAGUAUACACUAAAAGUCAUGGAAUCUCCUCUCAUUCUGUAGGUUGUUGUAUUUCUAAAAUUCAAAAUCCAUAAAUUUGAAUUCUAGGGCCACACAACCAGUCACAGAGUAAGACAUAUAGCAUUAUUAAAACAUUUUGCUCAAUUGGUAGCACACUUAAAGCAGUGACCAUUUCUCAACAGGAAUGUGCCACAUUUCUUUUCCAAAACCGGGCAGCCCCGAUGUCACCAACUUGUAUCCGUUGUACGUUCCUCCCAAGACGAACCUACAUCUGGAUGGCAAACCGGCCUUGGCAUCGUAUACCGCUGGGCAACGCCCACCUACACAAAAAUCUCAAUAAUCCACACGCAACGAAGUUUAUUUUUUUCACAUGUUCAUACACGUUUUGUGUUGUGUUUACGUAAAGGAAUUUAUUUGUGGAAAAGAGCCAUUUCGAAAACACUCCGGUCCGCUGAAUGGUUGAAGGGUGCUCGCAGUGCAGCAAAAAAAUCAGAAAAAUUACAUAAAAUAGUCCCUUACUUAAGGAUGUAACUGCCUCAGAUGUUAGUUUGCUUUGAGUUUUGCUAAAAUUUCACCAGUAGGAAGAACUAGAACGUAAUUGAAUUAUUCUCCUAAAAGCGUUUUAUUUGAACGGAAGUUUUGCCAAAACGAAAAAAUCUAACGUUGGAAUGCAUGUUACGUAAAGUACAUUUAACAAAAAGAAAUAUAUAACCCAAACCAGAAAACCAAAAAACGAAAAAAAUUGUACUGCGACACGCUUUGCGAGGGCUCGGAUUCGACCAAAAAUAGAGUUUGAAUAGUUUUUUAUUUGUCUUUAAAUGAAUAUUCCCUAAGGUACGAUUUACUUACUUACUGCUGAGAAGAAUGGAAAGCGAAGAAAUCUAAAACAAAUACUUCAAUAUCAAUCAGAACCAGAUUGAGUUUAAGGAACAAAAGCACGAUCAGAAAAUUUAAUAAAAAGCAGAAAAUAUGGAAAUAAAGUCCCACUACUUCUGGUAGAGUGAAACAAA